UACGGAGGGGGGCUAGCGUUGUUCGGAAUUACUGGGCGUAAAGCGCGCGUAGGCGGACCUGCAAGUCGGGGGUGAAAGCCCGAGGCUCAACCUCGGAACUGCCUUCGAUACUGCGGGUCUCGAGUCCGGGAGAGGUGAGUGGAAUUCCUAGUGUAGAGGUGAAAUUCGUAGAUAUUAGGAAGAACACCAGUGGCGAAGGCGGCUCACUGGCCCGGUACUGACGCUGAGGCGCGAAAGCGUGGGGAGCAAACAGGAUUAGAAACCCCGGAUGA
rnacentral:rRNA from 1 species